rnacentral:rRNA from 1 species
CCUACGGGUGGCAGCAGUGAGGAAUAUUGGUCAAUGGGCUUACGCCUGAACCAGCCAAGUCGCGUGAGGGAAGACUGCCCUAUGGGUUGUAAACCUCUUUUGUCAGGGAGCAAAUGGCGCUACGUGUAGGGUUAUCGAGAGUACGUGAAGAAAAAGCAUCGGCUAACUCGGUGCCAGCAGCCGCGGUAAUCGGGAGGAUGCGAGCGUUAUCCGGUUUUAUUGGGUUAAAGGGUUGCGUAGGCGUAUUGCCAAGUCAGCGGUAAAUUCGCGGGGUUCAAACUCGCUCCGCCGUUGAUACUGGAGUUCUAGAGUGCGCGUGAAGUAUGCGGAAUGUGUAGUGUAGCGGUGAAAUGCAUAGAUAUCACGCAGAACACCGAUUGCGAAGGCAGCAUACCGGCGCCGAACUGACGCUGAAGCACGAAAGCGUGGGUAUCGAACAGGAUUAGAUACCCGAGUAGUC